AUUCAAGAAAAGCAUCAAAGAUGGGUCAUUGCAGAAACUCUACAUGAAGAAGAGAGGAAGGAGCGGGAGAAGAGCAUCUGCAAAGAUUGGAGGAGAGCUCAGAGAAUAUAGGAUUUUUCAGAGACCUACCCAUGUUUCAAGGCAGAGGGAACGGAGCCAGUGCAAAGAAAAAGAGAACGGAGCUAGGGAACCGGCCUUGAAGAAGAGAGGGAUGGUACUUGAGAGGUAAGAAGGAGAGGCGACCCAGAGCACUAGGGUCAUCUAAUCUGGAGAGGCUUUCUCCUUGAGUGGGGAAGGAAGACCGGGCACUCUUCCCCAGGCCACUGUGUAAAAACACUGACUUACCACACCUGUGCUUUAACAAAUAUUCACAUAAUUCUGUGCUAAUUUGCCUUCCCCUAUUAGAAUGGAGUCCCCAUUCAGGUCCCCAGGCCAUGCCUAUCUCACUCACCAGCCAGAGUCUCUAGGAACAAAGCGAAGGGGAGCAUGACGUAGGAGAAGCAGGUGAGUGACGUCCCACCUUCAUGACAGGGGACAUGAAAAAUACUUGAGAUUAGAGAGCAAUGGAAAUGAUCGUUAAUUUCCCAUGGGUGUGGGAGAAGAGCAGAAGGUUUUGCUAAUUAUUGACGAAGCACUCUCUGGUCUUCAGGGCACCCUGACUCUGAAUGCUUCAUUCUGGGAAGCUUCUUAGAAGAGAAGAGAUGAACAGAGCAGAGCAGAGAAGAGAAAGGAAGAGAAGAGCUGAACAGAGCAGAGCAGAGCAGAGCAGAGAAGAGCAGAGCAUAUUACUUAACUGUGACCCUGAAAGUAAAUCAGCAUGCUGAGGAUGUUCAGUCUGCUUGACAUUUUGAGAAAUAAUGUUUUAAGAGAAUCCUUCGCAAUUUUGUGAAAGAGGACAGAAGAGGCAAGUUGUGAGAAUGUAAAAAUCUGUACAGAUUGCCAAUGUCCUAACAUCUUUGUGAUAAAGAGACAUUAUAUUCAUGAGGAAGGUGAGUGAGGGAAAAGAUGGAUUUAAAGAUGAUUUCUGGCUUUUGUGAACAAAUCAUAUUUCUUAUUCACUAAGGCUUGAAAUGGCUCUCAGUUGUUAAUAACUCCUUUCAUGCCAUAUAUCCCAAGAUACUUCUCAAAACUGUAAGAUUGCCACUCGGUUAUACACAAAUAGGUUAAACUUUUUUUUUUACAAGUUUGAAUCUAAAUGAUGAAAAUUGACGUUUCAUCUUGCAAAAGAAAAUGAAUUGCAGAUCUCCUAAAUAAAAACUUACAAACAAAAUGCA
rnacentral:lncRNA from 1 species